CACGUAGGGGGCGAGCGUUGUCCGGAUUCAUUGGGCGUAAAGGGUGCGUAGGCGGCGCGGUAAGUCGGGUGUGAAAUCUCGGGGCUUAACUCCGAAACUGCAUUCGAUACUGCCGUGCUUGAGGACUGGAGAGGAGACUGGAAUUUACGGUGUAGCGGUGAAAUGCGUAGAUAUCGUAAGGAAGACCAGUGGCGAAGGCGGGUCUCUGGACAGUUCCUGACGCUGAGGCACGAAGGCCAGGGGAGCAAACGGG
rnacentral:rRNA from 1 species